rnacentral:rRNA from 1 species
UACGGGGGGGGCAAGCGUUGUUCGGAAUUACUGGGCGUAAAGGGCGCGUAGGCGGCCCGCUAAGUCGGAUGUGAAAUCCCCAGGCUCAACCUGGGAACUGCGUCCGAUACUGGCAGGCUUGAAUCCGGGAGAGGGAUGUGGAAUUCCAGGUGUAGCGGUGAAAUGCGUAGAUAUCUGGAGGAACACCCGUGGCGAAGGCGGCAUCCUGGACCGGUAUUGACGCUGAGGCGCGAAAGCUAGGGGAGCAAACGGG